UACAGAGGUCUCAAGCGUUGUUCGGAUUCAUUGGGCGUAAAGGGCGCGUAGGCGGCGGGUCAAGUCGAGUGUGAAAGCCCCGGGCUCAACCUGGGAAUUGCGCUCGAGACUGGUCUGCUUGAGUUCGGGAGAGGAGCGUGGAAUUCCCAGUGUAGAGGUGAAAUUCGUAGAUAUUGGGAAGAACACCGGUGGCGAAGGCGGCGCUCUGGACCGAGACUGACACUGAGGAGCGAAAGCCAGGGGAGCAAACGGG
rnacentral:rRNA from 1 species